UACGUAGGGUGCGAGCGUUAAUCGGAAUUACUGGGCGUAAAGCGUGCGCAGGCGGUUUUGUAAGACAGAUGUGAAAUCCCCGGGCUUAACCUGGGAACUGCAUUUGUGACUGCAAGACUAGAGUGUGUCAGAGGGGGGUGGAAUUCCACGUGUAGCAGUGAAAUGCGUAGAGAUGUGGAGGAACACCGAUGGCGAAGGCAGCCCCCUGGGAUAACACUGACGCUCAGGCACGAAAGCGUGGGGAGCAAACAGG
rnacentral:rRNA from 1 species